rnacentral:rRNA from 1 species
UGGGGAAUAUUGCACAAUGGAGGGAACUCUGAUGCAGCGACGCCGCGUGAGUGAUGAAGGAAUUCGUUUCGUAAAACUCUGUUCUAUGGGAAGAAAAGGACUGUACCAUAGGAGAAAGCUCCGGCUAAACACGUGCCAGCAGCCGCGGUAAUACGUAUGGAGCGAGCGUUGUCCGGAAUUAUUGGGCGUAAAGGGUGCGCAGGCGGCUUUACAAGUUGGAUGUGAAAUAUUGUGGCUCAACCACAAACGUGCAUCCAAAACUGCAAAGCUUGAGUUAAGGAGAGGUAAGUGGAAUUCCUGGUGUAGCGGUGGAAUGCGUAGAUAUCAGGAGGAAUACCGGUGGCGAAGGCGACUUACUGGACUUAAACUGACGCUCAGGCACGAAAGCGUGGGGAGCAAACAGG